rnacentral:rRNA from 1 species
UGGGGAAUAUUGGACAAUGGGCGAAAGCCUGAUCCAGCCAUGCCGCAUGAGUGAAGAAGGCCUUUGGGUUGUAAAGCUCUUUUAGUGAGGAAGAUAAUGACGGUACUCACAGAAGAAGUCCUGGCUAACUCCGUGCCAGCAGCCGCGGUAAUACGGAGAGGGCUAGCGUUCUGCGGAAUUAUUGGGCGUAAAGGGCGCGUAGGCUGGUUAAUAAGUUAAAAGUGAAAUCCCGAGGCUUAACCUUGGAAUUGCUUUUAAAACUAUUAAUCUAGAGAUUGAAAGAGGAUAGAGGAAUUCCUGAUGUAGAGGUAAAAUUCGUAAAUAUUAGGAGGAACACCAGUGGCGAAGGCGUCUAUCUGGUUCAAAUCUGACGCUGAAGCGCGAAGGCGUGGGGAGCAAACA